rnacentral:lncRNA from 1 species
AGAGUGUGAGUCGGGGCGUCGUAGCGCAGCUGCAGCAGCACCCGGGCGCGUCCGGGGCUGUGGGAGCCGAAAGUUGGGGUCUUGCUCUGUCGCUCAGGCUGGAGUGCAGUGGCAUGAUCAUGGGUCACUGCAGCCUUGAACUCCUGGGCUUAAGGGAUCUUCUCAUCUCAGUCUCCUAAAUAGCUGGGACUACAGGCUCAGGCCACCAUGCCUGUUGACAGAUUCAUCUUCUACCAUGCUUGGACAUCAGUGCUCCUGGUUCCUGGGCCUUUGAACUUGGAUGAGGACUUACUUAGACCAUUGUCUCCCUUGGUUCUCAAGCCUCUGGGUUGUGCUGGAACUACACUGCUGGCUUUCCUGGGAUUUUAACUUGCAGACAGCAGAUUGUGGGACUUUUCAGCCUGCAUAACUGCAUGAACAAAUCCUCAUAACAAAGCUCUUUCUAAAC